GAUGAACGCUGACAGAAUGCUUAACACAUGCAAGUCCACUUGAAUUUGGGUUUUUAACUUAGGUUUGGGUGGCGGACGGGUGAGUAACGCGUAAAGAACUUGCCUCACAGCUAGGGACAACAUUUGGAAACGAAUGCUAAUACCUAAUAUUAUGAUAAUAGGGCAUCCUAUAAUUAUGAAAGCUAUAAGCGCUGUGAGAGAGCUUUGCGUCCCAUUAGCUAGUUGGAGAGGUAACGGCUCACCAAGGCGAUGAUGGGUAGCCGGCCUGAGAGGGUGAUCGGCCACAAGGGGACUGAGACACGGCCCUUACUCCUACGGGAGGCAGCAGUGGGGAAUAUUGGACAAUGGACCGAGAGUCUGAUCCAGCAAUUCUGUGUGCACGAUGAAGUUUUUCGGAAUGUAAAGUGCUUUCAGUUGGGAAGAAACAAAUGACGGUACCAACAGAAGAAGUGACGGCUAAAUACGUG
rnacentral:rRNA from 1 species